CGCCUGUUUUUCAAAAACAUGUCCUUUUGAUUAGAAUUAAAGGUCUGGCCUGCCCACUGAUUAAAUAUUAAAGGGCCGCGGUAUUUAUGACCGUGCAAAGGUAGCAUAAUCAUUAGUCUUUUAAUUGAAGACUGGAAUGAAUGGUUUAACGAAAUAUAAACUGUCUCAUGAUAAUAUUUAAAAUUUAAUUAUUGAGUGAAAAAGCUUAAAUAAGAUUGGAGGACGAGAAGACCCUAUAGAGCUUUAUAUAAUUUUUUAUAAAUAUAUUUAAGAGUUAUGAGAAGUAUUUAUAAAUAAUUGUAUUUUAUUGGGGUGAUAAGAAGAUUUAAAGAACUCUUUGUUGAUUUUAACAUAGAUUUAUGAAUUAUUGAUCCAUUAAUAGUGAUUAUAAGAUUAAGUUACCUUAGGGAUAACAGCGUAAUUUUUUUUGAGAGUUCUUAUCAAUAAAAAAGAUUGCGACCUCGAUGUUGGAUUAAGAAUAUAAUUAGGUGAAGAAGUUUAAAAUAUAAGUCUGUUCGACUUUUAAAUUCUUACGUGAUCUGAGUUCAGACCGG
rnacentral:rRNA from 1 species